ACAUAUAUAACGGACAAAAAAAUCGAUUUUUAAAGAAAAAGGGAGAAAGGGUAUAACUUUAGAGGCUGUGGCCUUAAAAGUUUUGGUCGGAAUCUAUGACAGCUCAGAAUGUUGACCAUCCGCCAUAUUCUCCCAAACCGAGCCUACUUACGUUUUGCUUUUGGUACUGGUUGGCUGGAAAGCGGUAAAAGCUUAAACGAUUUCAAAUACUCAAAUGUCAGGCUUUACAGUUUUGCGCGGUGGUUCGAAAGGAUGCAGAAGGGUAUUCAAUUUAACGGUGAAUGCUUCAAAUAUUAGUUUUAUCAUCCUUUGUUUAAGUUAUUGUUAUUAUAAGAAGUAAGAUUUUCACUCAAUAUAAUUAAAUCUCGCAUCAUAAUUCAUAAAAGCCCUGGUGCUCCAGUACUAUGUUUCUUGUCUAGAUCCCACCUUUACGUUAACACAUCCUUUUAACAAUAAAAUAAGAAUAGGUAUAGGUUCUCGUCCAGUUUGUUAUACCGGGUGAAUUAUAUUCUAAACCGGAACAUAGAGAAAAAUGUUUUGUUUUGCAGAUUGUUGCUCCCCAUGUUAACUAACGAUAAAUACGAAUUUUCAGUUAUAUUUCUCCUUACUUUAUCAAAAUUCAGCAAUAAAUCCAAUUAGCAAAAUCAUGUUAAGGCAUAACAGUCACACAAAUAAUCUUCUUUUGAUUGAUGUCAUUAUAAACCUUCUAAGUUAACAUGGGGAGCAAUAAUCUGCAAAACAAAAGAAAUCAGUACAUUCUGUCUGUCUAUCCGAAAUUAUGAAACUUUCCGAAGGUAGAGGUUUUCGAAUUUCGUGUUCACUAAUCGAUUGCUUAGGAUUUGGAUUUGAAAGAUUUGAUUACAUUUUGUGUCUUUCUUUUAUACUUUCUCUACUCCAGAACACAUACUUACCCAUCAAAAAGUAGAUACCUACCUGAUUGAGCUUGGGAAAUUUCUUAAUUCGGUUUUACUUUUUAGACGCGGUCUUCAGGCAGUACCUACCUCAUCGCCAGCAAUCCAAACGAUGGCACUAUUCCAAAACUGCAACGAAUUAGCACGGACCUUGGUCGCUUAUCAACCCUGUAGAGAUCGUCAGCAAAGCGCAACAUUCAUUCAGCAAAUAUGAGCACUAUUCACCACAUCAAAUCCGACGCUGACAUCAACGAGUGUUCCAGCCGUCAACGAAUAUAUAAUUGAUUAAUUUUCCAUCGGUGUGAAACCGGGAUGUUGGAAAUCUGGAAAAUACCAGUCACUUGGUGCGAAGCUACAGAUCAGUGGAACUAGGCCUAAACCCCUUUGAGGUCGCAUUCCGUCUAGAGGAAGGAUGCAACGAUGCCAUCUUAGGAAAUCGUCAAAGCGGUAUCGGGCGACCAAACAACUUACCAACACUCAACAGUUACCCUUUGGUUGGCAUUCGUUUCAAAUCCGCUACAUCCUUAAGUUUUCAUUGGUUUUUUUUGCUGGGGGGGGGGGGGUGGAGAGACUAUGUCGUGUGAUGAACUAGUGCGAGCUACCAGCAAAGUGCAGUUAGGGCAGUACAAUAUUAUUCUAGAGAUGAAC